CACUCUAGAGAGACUGCCAGGGAUAACCUGGAGGAAGGUGGGGAUGACGUCAAAUCAUCAUGCCCCUUAUGCUUAGGGCUACACACGUGCUACAAUGGGUAGUACAGAGGGUUGCCAAGCCGUAAGGUGGAGCUAAUCCCUUAAAGCUACUCUCAGUUCGGAUUGUAGGCUGAAACUCGCCUACAUGAAGCUGGAGUUACUAGUAAUCGCAGAUCAGAAUGCUGCGGUGAAUGCGUUCCCGGGUCUUGUACACACCGCCCGUCACACCACGGGAGUUGGAGACGCCCGAAGCCGAGUAUCUAACCUUUUGGAAGAAGUCGUCGAAGGUGGAAUCAAUAACUGGGGUGAAGUCGUAACAAGGUAGCCGUAUCGGAAGGUGCGGCUGGAUCACCUCCUUUCUAAGGAGA
rnacentral:rRNA from 1 species